UGGGGAAUAUUGGACAAUGGGCGCAAGCCUGAUCCAGCAACGCCGCGUGGAGGACGAAGGUCUUCGGAUCGUAAACUCCUGUCAGACGGGACGAACGGUCGGCGGGAAAUACUCGCCGGCCUUGACGGUACCGUCCGAGGAAGCCCCGGCUAACUCCGUGCCAGCAGCCGCGGUAAUACGGAGGGGGCAAGCGUUAUUCGGAAUUAUUGGGCGUAAAGGGCGCGUAGGCGGCUUGGUAAGUCAAAGGUGAAAUCCCUCGGCUCAACUGAGGAAUUGCCUUUGAAACUGCCUGGCUCGAGGCCGGGAGGGGGUAGCGGAAUUCCCAGUGUAGCGGUGAAAUGCGUAGAUAUUGGGAGGAACACCGGUGGCGAAGGCGGCUACCUGGACCGGUUCUGACGCUGAUGCGCGAAAGCGUGGGGAGCAAAC
rnacentral:rRNA from 1 species